rnacentral:tRNA from 1 species
UGAGCCAUUAGCUCAGCUGGGAGAGCAUCUGACUUGUAAUCAGUAGGUUGGGGGUUCAAGUCCUCUGGCCGGC